rnacentral:lncRNA from 1 species
CAAACACAUGGAUCUUAUAUUAUUUUUGCAUCUAGGAGGACAUAUUAUAUGUUUCAAGAACUAAGUGUAGUGAUAGUCGCCGCCUCCAUAUGAAAUCACAGAUUUUCAUACAUCUGGAAGCAAGGACAGUGUAACAAUAGAAGUUUAUUCAAACAUGAAGCUUUAUCUUUGCAAGAGAAUAUUAAGAGUUGGGAGAAAUCCUUUCACUGUAGAAUAAGGCUGCUGUUGUGACCCCUUUAUAAACACAUUGUGACUUGGAGGUUACAAUCUCUCAGAUUGCUUGAAUUUUACCACAUAGCUCUAUCCUCUUAAAUGCCAUCUUGUUUUUAUUGUUUUACUUCUGUUGUUUGUUUUAUUGGAGGGGGUGGCAAAUCUGGAAAAGUGAAUCCUCACACUGAAUUACCUGUGGAUGGCUCCUUCCUGCUCUGGCAGGCACAUAACACACAUGUGCCUACACUUGGCUGUUCCUAGUUAGAUUAUCUGGCAGUAGGGUAAGUGCAAGACUGUGAUUUGAAGUCCUGGCUGCAAAGUACAGGGGGACUGAGGUGAGAGAACAUUCACUCAAGCCUCUUUCCUUCUCUCCAAACCAGUUGGUUUAAUCAGAGAACAUUUCUUAAAAAUCAUGGUCCUGUGAGUAACUGUUUCAGGCCAUCAUUCUAGGGAAUGCAGCCUAACACUGAAGUUACUCAUUUUAAAUUUUCCUUUAUGUAUCUGAAGUAAUUUUAUAGAAAACCAAAAGAGUAUAUUUUAUAAGAAAAAAUAGUAAUUUUCUGGCAUCCAAAGAUAAUUACUCUUGUAUUUCACCUAUUUCUUUCCAAAAUUUUUGUAGUGGAAAUAUCAGUGGAAUGUGUGUGUGUUUAAAAAUAUGUGUGCCAUUUUUAUAACUGGAUGUAUAAUUUUUUUUACCAAUCCAAGUUUGUUGAAUAUUUGGGUGCUUUUCUACAUGGAUUACAUGUGUAUAAUGCUGAAAAGAACAUCUUUGCACAAAUAUCUUUGCCAAAUAUCACUUGGGAUAUAUUCCUAGCAAUAGAAUUUCUAGGUCAAAAUGUAUAUGUAUUUGUAUUUGAGGCAACAUGUCAAAUUCUUCAUGAAAUUUUAUAUUGCUUUACUCAUUGAAUAAAGUCCUAACUUUCCUGAUAGCUGUGUAAGUGCUCAGAAAUUAUCAUUGAAAAUCAUUGAAAAAAUAAAGUCCUAACUUUCCUGAUAGCUGUGUAAGUGCUCAGAAAUAAUCCUUUUAAAAAACAGAGUAGUCUAGUAAGUAUAAAAUUACACCUCCUUGUUUUAAUGUAUAUUUCUUUGAUUUUUAAAUGAAGUUGAAUAUCUUUCAUAGACUUAUUAACCCACACAUCAUUCCUUUUAUUAAUUGGUCAACUAUGUCAGUUUUAUCACUUGCUACUUUACGUUGCAAUUUUUAUAUUUUUUAUGUAUGUAUUGAUUAUGAGAUUCUAUGAUAUGUUAACUUUAUUAAAGUACAUUUUUCAUAUAUUAACUUGAUCAAGAUCCCAGGAGAAAUAACAAAACAAAACAAAGCAAAACAAACAUAACCAAAGCUGGCAUUCUAAGUGACUAGUUGAAGGCUGUUAGUGAUAAAAGGACCUUGUAAAAACAUGGACAGGGUGAGGUGGCCAGUGUAGUGCAAGAUGAGGCUGUUGGGAAAUGGUACCCCGGGGGCUGCAGGAGUGAGGAGAUGCUCCAGCAUCUCAGGGGGAGCCCCGAGGCUGGCAGGUGGAGAGCUCACUGGGAGGUAUGGGCUGUGGAAGGAGCAGACAUGGUCCCCUAGAGGCCUGGCAGGCAAGGAGUCCAGAUGGUGGGGAUGCCGGCUGCCUUGACCUCUGUCCUCAUCAGCUGCCUUGUUCUGUCCCAGCCUCUCCCUGGGAACCAUCUGGAGAUCCACUGGAGCUGAGGGAAGUGGGUGUGGAGGUGCAGGAGCUGGUGUAAGGAGGAGUAGAGUGGGUUUGACGGCAGAGAAAGAAUCUCCAGCACAAAAGCCUCUUGGGUUUCCUUGUCUGCGCCACUGCUUCAUCCUGGCAUUUUAUUUAUGGUAUCUGGGAUGUACAGAGGUUAUGGAUGAUUUUAGGCAGCCAAAUAAUUAAUCUUUUUCCUCCCAGCUUCUAGUUUUGAAGUUUCACUAAUGAGGUCUUUAUCAGCAGGGUACUACAUAAAUAUUAACAUACAUUAGUUUCUGGUACUUAAAAAAUGUUUUUCUGGAAACCAUUUUGGUAUAUGCUACCACCGGUAUAUUGUUUCUCUCCAAAUUUUAGCCAGGUAUUAGAAUAACUUUUUAUUCAAAAUUCAUUUUUGCGCAUAUAAUCUGUUGUCCUUCUGAGUCCCUCCCCCUGCCCCUCCCACCCUGGAAGGGACUAAGUUGUUAAAAUCCCAGCAAGAAGCUGUUUUUAGUUUUAAGUUUUUAAUACAAAGUCUCUCUUUUCUUUUACACAAUUCUUCCUUGAAAAAUUGGAGUGAUUUUCUAAUUAUUUAAAACAUAUUCUGGGAUGUUGAGGGCAAUUACUUUGAAUUCAUAGUUCAUUUGGGAAAUUUUUCAUCUGGAAACACUGUCUGCAUCUUCCUUUAUUCUGACCUGUUCUACACGGCACUAUAAUUUUACAUGUUUCAGGUAUGUUUUUUUUCAGAUCCAUAAGUAAAUGCCUUUGUAAGUUUUUCACUUGGCAGUUUAUCAUUUUUUGGUUAUUUGAACGGGUGCUUUUACAUUUUUUCAGUUUUUAAACAAUUAGUCUUUUUUUUUUUUCUUUUUUCUUUUUUCCACGGCAUAUGGAAGUUCCUAAGCCAGGGAUCCAACCUGCACCACAGCAGUGACCCAAGCCACUGCAGUGACAACACCAGGUCCUUAACCCUGUGAACCACAAGAUGUCUCCAACGAUUAGUCUUGAUGUUUCUGAAAGCUAUUUAUUUUAUACUUCAAAAAGAUUUUUUUUGUCUUUUUAGAGCCACACCCAUGGCAUAUGGAAGUUUCCAGGCUAGGGACUGAAUUGGACCUAUAGCCACCGGCCUACACCACAGCCACAGCAACACCAGAUCUAAGCUGCUUCUGUGACCUACACCACAGCUUACGGCAAUGCGGGAUCCUUUAACCCACUAAGGGAGGCCAGGGUUUGAACCUACAUCCCCAUGGAUGCUAGUCAGAUUUGUUUCCUCUGAGCCACAAUGGGAACUCCUAUUUUAUACUUGUAUUUUUUCUCUCUCUCUCUCUCUCAAGGACAUCUCUUUGUAGCUAAUGAUUUUCAAAGAAGCAGUCCUGUUGUCUCCAAACAUGUGUUGUUAUGAUACCUCUAGUUUCUCAUUUAUAAUCUUUCAGUCUGUCUGUCUGUCUGUCUUUCUCUCAUAGUGCAUUGGAAUGAUGCUUAUUUUUUAGCCUUUGAUGUGACACUUUUGAUUCCCACAUUCUAGGCAUAAUUCAGGUCUGUACUUAUUUUUAAUGGCUUCAUGGAUGGUGUUACCUGUUUUGUAAUCAAGUACGGUACAGUUACUCUAAGAAAUAACUUUCAAACCACAGCCACUGCCACAAAUGGUAUUUAUGUGAAGUGAUAGAUUUUUUUAAACUAACCUUAUUGUGGUAAUAAUCUCCCAACAUCAUGUAUAUGCAGUCGUCACCUUGUAUACCUUAAAGUUAUACCAUGUUGUAUUUCCCUGUAAUAUUAUCUCAAUAUAGUCAUCUUAAGAAAGCUGAAAACAUAAUUUUAAAAUAAGUUAAACCAUAACAUGCCUGAUAAUGGAAGGGUGAAACUUCCUUUCUUUCAUGAAGUACUGUCUUAACUGUAUGGAUUUUAGUAAAUCCCCUGUCCUGAGCUUCAGUGUCCACUGGCUUCGCUCAUUUCCUCUUCUAGCCACUCCAGUGGCCUCUGUCUUUACCCCUAGUCCAGCCUCACUUCCUGCCAAGAUACGUGGACAGAGAAGUUUUUUCCCUAACAAAUAAAUCCAAAUCUGUUGCUUCUGUCUUUAGAAUUACCUGACAGCCCCCCUUGUCUUACAGAAUAAGAUGUGAAAUACUUAGGAGAGCAUCACCAAAUCCUUGUGUUGGGUGGUCGGACCUCUCUGACCUGCCCCCAGCCCAGCUCUGUGCACAGAUCUCACAUUUCUAUAGCUUUCUAGAUGCCGGAGUCCAGCUUUGUACUAGUGUCAGAAAAAUUGCACCAGACCAGUUAAACAGGCAAGGCAACUUCAUUCAAGGUAAUUGUAACAAAGGUCAUGAGGGUUUUAAGUGCUGAGGCAGCCAGUGAAAAGCUCUGGGGCCCUGGAGGGAGGCUGGGCACUGAAUGUGUUCAGUACAUGGAGUUAUUCCUGAGUUUGUGGAUGUUUUUCUUGGUGGUUGGACUCUGUGUUUGCUUUUGUCCAUCAAGGUUGGGGUCUCCCCUCCUCCAGGGAAUGAGAGAAGGGGAGCUGGCUUCUCUCACAUCUGCAUUUUAAGGUCCUUGAGAAAGACCUUCCUGGAUUGUAAAACUGGCUAGAGGUGCUUUACAAAGAUUGACAUACCUUUCAAAGGGGCAAGGAGAAGUUUGCAAUGAGUUUUAAAAGCAAAUGCUGAGUAGUAUUCCAUUGGGUAUAUAUACCACAUCUUAAUCCAAUCUUCUGUUGAUGGACAUUUGAGUUGUUUCCAUGUUUUGGCUAUUGUGAAUAGUGCUGCAGUAGGUGCAUGUGUCUUUUUCAAGGAAAGUUUUGUCUGGGUAUACCUUGCUGUGUAGUUGAAAAUUGACAGAACACUCUAAACAAGUGAUAAUGGAAAAAAUAAAAUUCAUUAUUAAAAAAGUAAAAAAAAAUUAUAUUAAAAAAAAAGCAAAUGCU